UUCGCAAUGCCCGAAAGGGUGACGAAGCGACGCCGCGUGGGUGAGGAAGGCCUUCGGGUUGUAAAGCCCUGUCAGGAGUUAAGAAAUGUAGACUCGCUAAUAUCGGGUCUAUUUGACAAAGGCUCCAAAGGAAGCCACGGCUAACUCUGUGCCAGCAGCCGCGGUAAUACAGAGGUGGCAAGCGUUGUUCGGAAUUAUUGGGCGUAAAGAGCACGUAGGUGGAUUUGUAAGUCAGACGUGAAAGCCUUCUGUUCAACGGGAGAAUUGCAUCUGAAACUGCAAGUCUUGAGUAUAGGAGGGGAGAAUGGAACUUCUGGUGGAGCGGUGAAAUGCGUAGAUAUCAGAAGGAACGCCGGCGGCGAAAGCGAUUCUCUGGCCUAUUACUGACACUCAGUGUGCGAAAGCUAGGGGAGCAAACGGGAUUAGAUACCCCGGUAGUCCUAGCUGUAAACGAUGGGCACUAAGUAGAGGGGUUUU
rnacentral:rRNA from 1 species